rnacentral:rRNA from 1 species
GCCUAAAGCGUCCGUAGCCUGUUCUAUAAGUUUCCGGUUAAAUCCACUAGCUCAACUAGUGGGCUGCCGAAAAUACUGUAGAACUAGGGAGUGGGAGAGGUAGACGGUAUUCGGUAGGAAGGGGUAAAAUCCUUUGAUCUAUUGAGGACCACCUGUGGCGAAGGCGGUCUACCAGAACACGUUCGACGGUGAGGGAUGAAAGCUGGGGGAGCAAACCGGAUUAGAUACCCGGGUAGUCCCAGCCGUAAACGAUGCAGACUCGGUGAUGCCCUGGCUUGUGGCCAGUGCAGUGCCGCAGGGAAGCCGUUAAGUUUGCCGCCUGGGAAGUACGUACGCAAGUAUGAAACUUAAAGGAAUUGGCGGGGGAGCACCACAAGGGGUGAAGCCUGCGGUUCAAUUGGAGUCAACGCCAGAAAUCUUACCCGGAGAGACAGCAGAAUGAAGGUCAAGCUGAAGACUUUACCAGACAAGCUGAGAGGUGGUGCAUGGCCGUCGCCAGCUCGUGCCGUGAGAUGUCCUGUUAAGUCAGGUAACGAGCGAGACCCUUGCCUCUAGUUGCCACCAUUGCUCUCUGGAGCAGUGGGGCGAAUUAGCGGGACCGCCGCAGUUAAUGCGGAGGAAGGAAAGGGCUACGGCAGGUCAGUAUGCCCCGAA